rnacentral:rRNA from 1 species
GACGAACGCUGGCGGCGUGCUUAACACAUGCAAGUCGAACGGAAAGGCCCUGCUUGCAGGGUGCUCGAGUGGCGAACGGGUGAGUAACACGUGGGUGAUCUGCCCCUUACUUUGGGAUAAGCCUGGGAAACUGGGUCUAAUACUGGAUAGGACCAUGCUGUAGGUGGUGUGGUGGAAAGAUUAGUUUCGGUAAGGGAUGAGCUCGCGGCCUAUCAGCUUGUUGGUGGGGUAAUGGCCUACCAAGGCGUCGACGGGUAGCCGGCCUGAGAGGGUGGACGGCAACAUUGGGACUGAGAUACGGCCCAGACUCCUACGGGAGGCAGCAGUGGGGAAUAUUGCACAAUGGGCGCAAGCCUGAUGCAGCGACGCCGCGUGGGGGAUGACGGCCUUCGGGUUGUAAACUCCUUUCAGCCAUGACGAAGCCUUCGGGUGACGGUAGUGGUAGAAGAAGCACCGGCUAACUACGUG